ACGGAGGGAGCUAGCGUUGUUCGGAAUUACUGGGCGUAAAGCGCGCGUAGGCGGCUUUUUAAGUCAGAGGUGAAAUCCCAGGGCUCAACCCUGGAACUGCCUUUGAAACUGGAAAGCUAGAAUAUUGGAGAGGUAAGUGGAAUUCCGAGUGUAGAGGUGAAAUUCGUAGAUAUUCGGAAGAACACCAGUGGCGAAGGCGACUUACUGGACAAUUAUUGACGCUGAGGUGCGAAAGCGUGGGGAGCAAACAGG
rnacentral:rRNA from 1 species